rnacentral:rRNA from 1 species
GAAUUCGCCCUUAGAGGGUCCUUUUGGGUCAGGAUGAACGCUGGCGGCGUGCCUAACACAUGCAAGUCGAGCGAAGCACUUUACUUGAUUUCUUCGGAUUGAAGGUAUAGUGACUGAGCGGCGGACGGGUGAGUAACGCGUGGGUAACCUGCCUCAUACAGGGGGAUAACAGUUAGAAAUGACUGCUAAUACCGCAUAAGACCACAGCACCGCAUGGUGCGGGGGUAAAAACUCCGGUGGUAUGAGAUGGACCCGCGUCUGAUUAGCUAGUUGGUAAGGUAAGGGCUUACCAAGGCGACGAUCAGUAGCCGACCUGAGAGGGUGACCGGCCACAUUGGGACUGAGACACGGCCCAAACUCCUACGGGAGGCAGCAGUGGGGAAUAUUGCACAAUGGGGGAAACCCUGAUGCAGCGACGCCGCGUGAGUGAUGAAGUAUUUCGGUAUGUAAAGCUCUAUCAGCAGGGAAGAAAAUGACGGUACCUGACUAAGAAGCACCGGCUAAAUACGUGCCAGCAGCCGCGGUAAUACGUAUGGUGCAAGCGUUAUCCGGAUUUACUGGGUGUAAAGGGAGCGUAGACGGAGAGGCAAGUCUGAUGUGAAAACCCGGGGCUCAACCCCGGGACUGCAUUGGAAACUGUUUUUCUAGAGUGUCGGAGAGGCAAGUGGAAUUCCUAGUGUAGCGGUGAAAUGCGUAGAUAUUAGGAGGAACACCAGUGGCGAAGGCGGCUUGCUGGACGAUGACUGACGUUGAGGCUCGAAAGCGUGGGGAGCAAACAGGAUUAGAUACCCUGGUAGUCCACGCCGUAAA